rnacentral:lncRNA from 1 species
ACAAGCUGACCCUCAGAUAUACCCUCAGAACCUGAAUCAAGUUCAAAUUUUAGAAGCAGUAUCAACAACAGAAUCAGAUUCAUGUUCAGUGCAUGGAGAACAAACAUUCAUAUGUGAUAGCAAAAAGUGGUUCUCAUCAUGCAAAGAAAGAGAAUUAAAAGGAUGCUCAUCAACAAUACAAUAAUCAACAUACCCAUCAUCAGCAUAAUCAUCAA